GCAAUUCACUAAAAAAGGUUCUGAAAAAAUAUGUCUCAGAUUACAGAAGAGUUAUUAAAUCAGUUGUCAUGCUCUGUGCAUUGUUAGGAGUACACCUGCAGUUCUGUUUGCUAUCCUGGCUGUGUUAUGUGACAGGCCUUUGCUUAACCUGAAUUGACUUCAUUAAGAACAGUUAGCUGGAAUGAGAAGGGUUGGACUGAUAUGUAAAUAUUUUAUUUCCUGUUGUUUGCAGGCAAGACCGGGCUUGUUACCAAAUGUGGCAUGGCUUUCAAGACUCACUCUUUUUCCUGUAGCUUCUCAGUACUGUUUAAUGUUCAACCGAGAUGUGCCAGUACAUGUUGGAGGCUGACCUGCUGGAAAGCAGCUCUGCAGAGAAGGACCUGAGAGUCCUGGCAGACAACAGAUUGACCCUG
rnacentral:lncRNA from 1 species